GCGCCGGUGGUGUAAGGCGAACAUCGCUGCCCGGAAAGCAGAAGAUGCGGGUUCGAGUCCCGCCAGGCGCA
rnacentral:tRNA from 1 species